CAGGGUUGAUCUAAAAUGAGAGUGUGGACUCUCUCUGCUUCUUCGAUUGUGAGGAGAAUCGCAAAGCGUCUGAGUUUUGAUUUGUUGCUGGUGGCUCGCUCAGGAUCCUGUUGGUAGCAUUUUCUUUCAGCUUGUGCGUUUGAAUUUCCGCGGAUGUGAUGAUAACUGGUCGAAUUUGCUUAUGCACGUCCUCCGACAUUCCCCUGUACUUCAAACUCUCAACUUUGUUGUACUGGACUAUGGUCUGAGCAACUGGAAUCUUGAGCGAGGUGUCAAGGUUCGUUGGAUUCAGCCGAGCUGAAUGUUUGUUGUUCCAUCUCAAAACCUUUGAGUGGAAAGAGUACAAUGGAACAGAAGAUGAGAAAGAAGGGGCAAUUUAUAUACUGAAGAACGAGAGGCGAUUAGUGACCGCAACUGUCUUCCCUGAUUCACUCAUGCUGAACAAAUGUCGGGUGUUUAAGGAAUUGGAAAUUGCAAUGAGGGAUUCAAGGGCAUGUGAGCUCAAAUUGGGUUAAAAAAGAAAGUUAGUUUUAGCUAACUUAUUUAGCUAACGAUAGGCCCUGUUUGUUUACGUGUCGCGCGACCUACGACUAAGAUUACGUUUUUUUACGUGUCGCGCGACUUACGAGUUGCGACUUAACCUGCGACCUGCGACUAAAAUUAUGUUUGUUUACGUGUCGCAGAUAAUGUGUGUUUACGUGUCGCGCGACCUGCGAUCUGCGACAUGCGACCAGUCGCGCGAUAAAAAAUUUCUUAAUUUUUAGUCGCUGUUUUUUCAGGCGACUUGAAAGGGAGCCCGCGACUGGUGAUAGGUAAACGAACAGGGCCUAUGUUUGUCACUGUCCAGCUUCUUUUUUCAUUUGCUCACCAAUUGAAGAUUGAACAUUUACAAACAGAGCAAUGAAGUGUUGAUUUUAGUUA